rnacentral:rRNA from 1 species
GACGAACGCUGGCGGCGUGCCUAAUACAUGCAAGUCGAACGCAGUGGGGACGGGUGAGUAACCCGUGGGUAACCUCCCAUCAGAGGGGAUAACACUUGCAAACAGGUGCUAAACUGAUACUGAUGGAUGGACCCGCGGUGCAUUAGCUAGUUGGUGAGGUAACGGCUCACCAAGGCCACGAUGCAUAGCCGACCUGAGAGGGUGAUCGGCAAAACUGGAACUGAGACACGGCCCAGAAUCCUACGGGAGGCAGCAGUAGGGAAUCUUCGGCAAUGGACGAAAGUCUGACGGAGCAACGCCGCGUGGGUGAAGAAGGUUUUCGGAUCGUAAAACUCUUUUGUUAGAGAAGCGGUAUCUAACCAGAAAGCCACGGCUAACUACGUGCCAGCAGCCGCGGUAAUAC